UAUCAUCAUUUUCUGAAAAGAUAAUUUAAUAGGACGAAUAUAUUCAAGAUAUCAAAAGAUUAUUUUUUGCUAUAUCCUUAUAAAAUGUUAAACGUUUCGUUUAUUUCUUAAGAAAUCUUUCGAUCGAGAUACGUCUAACUUUCUCAGGGUCAAUAUUGUCAAGGUAAAAUAUUAAAGUAUAAUUCACUAAACGUUUCUAUCAUAAUGCAUAUAGGAAGACUGGAAAGUCGUUCUACAAUUUGAUGUCGGUGAAAAUAUCGGUCAACCAUCAUCGUCUCCAUUUAUAGUCGACAGUGAAUUAGGCAAUGCGUAUUAGAAGUUACUUCAGUAAUAUUCAAGUGAUAUGUCAAUAAUGAUCUAGAAAUCAUGAAAAGGUGAAAUUGUCAUAGCGUGUGCUCUUGUAUUAUAUUUGAAAGUUUAAAGAAAGACCAAACAUACACAGUCUAAAUGUCAUAACGGUAAUCUCUAAGACGUUUUCCUGAUGGUAAAACGAUGCGGUGGUACCUUUCACCUUUCUUCGAGCAAACGAAUUGGAGUUUCCUAUGACGAUAAUCCCGAAUACAUGCUUAUAAAGAGGGAAAGUUAGGUGGAACAUACAUAUGUGUGUUCCCUGUAAAGAAAGCGGAUGUCUAAGUGGCUCAUAAAAAUAUUCCUUCCUAAGAUAAAUCUGACACGCACACGUGCGCGAGCACGGUCUUAUCUUCUUUAUCUUGCUUCAUGAAGUUGUUUAUAUGCAUAAUUAUUGACAAUAUUAUCGAGGAAAAAAGAAUUUGCUAUAAAAAGUAGCAUUGACCGAGGAAAGUAAAACGUCGAAAGCGACUCCGACUCUCGUCGUCACGUCGACUGGUCAGGCCGUUUCUCAUAAAGCCGUUCGUGGUUAUACGAGCGUUUCUUUGUGUCACUAAAAGUGAAACCUCACGAUGAAAGUGGGCAAACCAGGAGGAACCCUAUCUGGCACAGAGGAAGGCUUUUACUUUUUUUUUAAGUUAAAAUAAUUUUGGUCGACGAAAGUAUUGCAUCACGUGCACCUUGAAAUCUAUAUGAAUAUGCUUUUCAUGUUUAAAGAAAUGUCACUUUAUUCCUAUAAAUAGAGAAUUUCUAUUCUCUUCUCAUUGAUCCAAUUAUAAAAUAACAUACACAUAUAUAUAUAUAUAUAUAU